rnacentral:rRNA from 1 species
UCAGAUUGAACGCUAGCGGGAUGCUUUACACAUGCAAGUCGAACGGCAGCACGAGAGAGCUUGCUCUCUUGGUGGCGAGUGGCGGACGGGUGAGUAAUAUAUCGGAACGUGCCUAGUAGCGGGGGAUAACUACUCGAAAGAGUGGCUAAUACCGCAUACGCCCUACGGGGGAAAGGGGGGGAUCGCAAGACCUCUCACUAUUAGAGCGGCCGAUAUCGGAUUAGCUAGUUGGUGGGGUAAAGGCUCACCAAGGCAACGAUCCGUAGCUGGUUUGAGAGGACGACCAGCCACACUGGGACUGAGACACGGCCCAGACUCCUACGGGAGGCAGCAGUGGGGAAUUUUGGACAAUGGGGGAAACCCUGAUCCAGCCAUCCCGCGUGUAUGAUGAAGGCCUUCGGGUUGUAAAGUACUUUUGGCAGAGAAGAAAAGGUACCUCCUAAUACGAGGUACUGCUGACGGUAUCUGCAGAAUAAGCACCGGCUAACUACGUGCCAGCAGCCGCGGUAAUACGUAGGGUGCAAGCGUUAAUCGGAAUUACUGGGCGUAAAGCGUGUGUAGGCGGUUCGGAAAGAAAGAUGUGAAAUCCCAGGGCUUAACCUUGGAACUGCAUUUUUAACUGCCGAGCUAGAGUAUGUCAGAGGGGGGUAGAAUUCCACGUGUAGCAGUGAAAUGCGUAGAUAUGUGGAGGAAUACCGAUGGCGAAGGCAGCCCCCUGGGAUAAUACUGACGCUCAGACACGAAAGCGUGGGGAGCAAACAGGAUUAGAUACCCUGGUAGUCCACGCCCUAAACGAUGUCAACUAGCUGUUGGGGCCGUUAGGCCUUAGUAGCGCAGCUAACGCGUGAAGUUGACCGCCUGGGGAGUACGGUCGCAAGAUUAAAACUCAAAGGAAUUGACGGGGACCCGCACAAGCGGUGGAUGAUGUGGAUUAAUUCGAUGCAACGCGAAAAACCUUACCUACCCUUGACAUGUCUGGAAUCCCGAAGAGAUUUGGGAGUGCUCGCAAGAGAACCGGAACACAGGUGCUGCAUGGCUGUCGUCAGCUCGUGUCGUGAGAUGUUGGGUUAAGUCCCGCAACGAGCGCAACCCUUGUCAUUAGUUGCUACGCAAGAGCACUCUAAUGAGACUGCCGGUGACAAACCGGAGGAAGGUGGGGAUGACGUCAAGUCCUCAUGGCCCUUAUGGGUAGGGCUUCACACGUCAUACAAUGGUCGGGACAGAGGGUCGCCAACCCGCGAGGGGGAGCCAAUCUCAGAAACCCGAUCGUAGUCCGGAUCGCAGUCUGCAACUCGACUGCGUGAAGUCGGAAUCGCUAGUAAUCGCGGAUCAGAAUGUCGCGGUGAAUACGUUCCCGGGUCUUGUACACACCGCCCGUCACACCAUGGGAGUGGGUUUCACCAGAAGUAGGUAGCCUAACCGUAAGGAGGGCGCUUACCACGGUGGGAUUCAUGACUGGGGUGAAGUCGUAACAAGGUAA